GGUCUCAUGGUGUAACGGUUAGCACUCUGGACUCUGAAUCCAGCGGAUCCGAGUUCAAAUCUCGGUGAGACCU
rnacentral:tRNA from 1 species